AGCAGCAGCCACGGUAAUACAGAGGGUGCAAGCGUUAAUCGGAAUUACUGGGCGUAAAGCGCGCGUAGGUGGUUUGUUAAGUUGGAUGUGAAAGCCCCGGGCUCAACCUGGGAACUGCAUCCAAAACUGGCAAGCUAGAGUACGGUAGAGGGUGGUGGAAUUUCCUGUGUAGCGGUGAAAUGCGUAGAUAUAGGAAGGAACACCAGUGGCGAAGGCGACCACCUGGACUGAUACUGACACUGAGGUGCGAAAGCGUGGGGAGCAAACAGGAUUAGAUACCCGAGUAGUCCCUGUCUCUUAUAA
rnacentral:rRNA from 1 species